CAGUAGCCGCGGUAAUACGUAUGUCACAAGCGUUAUCCGGAUUUAUUGGGCGUAAAGCGCGUCUAGGUGGUUAUGUAAGUCUGAUGUGAAAAUGCAGGGCUCAACUCUGUAUUGCGUUGGAAACUGUGUAACUAGAGUACUGGAGAGGUAAGCGGAACUACAAGUGUAGAGGUGAAAUUCGUAGAUAUUUGUAGGAAUGCCGAUGGGGAAGCCAGCUUACUGGACAGAUACUGACGCUGAAGCGCGAAAGCGUGGGUAGCAAACAGGAUUAGAUACCCCCGUAGUCCCUGUCUCUUAUACC
rnacentral:rRNA from 1 species